ACCGAAACCAUCCCCUUGUCCCUCUGCCCGGCCCCACUCGGUGGCCUGAAAAGUGAGACACAGAACAGUGGUGAAAGACAUACCCCAUGCAAAGGACGUCUGAAACACAGCCUUGGGGGCAAUUAACCGGCCCAGGUGGGAAGAGGGCAGUGAGGGGGGAGGAGGAGGAGGAGGAGGGGGCUGGGGCUUCUCCUCCCUGAUUCUCCUUGUCCUGGAGGGGAGAGAGCCGGGGACCCCUGCCCUGGCCAGGUGACCCCAGGAUGCAUGUGUGUCUUGCAGUGAUGGCCGUGGUGUUGGCUCCCCUCAGGGAGUGCGCGGCUUCCUCCCUCCCUCCCUCCGCCUGCCACCCCGACUCCCCUGGUGUCCUCCACCCCACCCCCCGGGGUUUUGCAUUUUUGAGGGUCCCCGUAUGGGAGGACUUCCAGACCCCUGUGGAAGUGAGCCCUGAUUGCAUGAUUGAAAGUUGCCUCUGCAACCCCCUGCCGCCCCCUCCCCUCCGGGGCUUGUUGAAGAGAAGCUUAAAGGGAACGGGGAGGUGAUGAGGACAUUUCUUGGGCGACCCAGGCUCCCUCCAGAAUGUGCUGGGAGGACUUGGGGGCGCUCUUGAGCGGCAGCGGAGGGCAUAUGGCUGCCCCUGUCUGUGCUGCUCAGCCUGCUCCUCCCCCAGGCACUGGCUGGCCCCCUAGUCUGCCCCAAGGAUGCCCCCUCAGGGGCCUGGCAGACAGGGCACCUGAGGUGGAGGCAGCCUUUGGAGGUGACCGCCCUGGCCCUGUUGGGACGUGGGUAGGGCAGGCAGAGUAACUGCUGAUUAAGAUGGCCGCUGAGUGCUACUUGACGUCUGGUUCCCUGGCAACUUGGUUGGGCUGAGCAGAGGCGGCUGAGAGGCGAGCAGCCCGGGGGCAAUGGGGAUGGAGGUGGCGGGGGGUGUUCCCAUGGCCCAGGGACACUCACUGUAGCACGCAGUCUGGGAUCUGCACGUGCUCCAUGGGGAUGAGCUGCUCCAGAUCUUCCAAGCUGUGCACAUACUGGAUCUUGUUGAUGAACUUGACGCUGGUGGGAGAAGAAGCAGGGAGACAUCUGAAAGCCAGCCCUCAGAGUGGCUCCUCAGGGCCAGAAGGAGCGAUGGCAGGCAGGGAUGCACACGCAACACUAUUCCGGGAUGCCCCAAGCACCUUCGCCCAAGCUUCCCUCCCCACCCGUGCCAGCCUCCACCCCUGGCCCCUAGUGGGGGAACAGAGCAGAACCCGGGGUCUCCCCUUGCAAGAAGAGAAGCGUCCUGGACCACGUGUUGGACACCAGUCCUUGCUGAGCUGAGGAAAUUCUUUGAAGGAAGCAGAGAGGAAAGAGACGCUGCUAGACUCCAGGCUCCAUCCUCCCCAGGAGUUGCUCCUCUGUGUGCAUCUUCCCAAGAAUGCUUUUCUGGCACAAUCGCCACUGCCCGGAUAGCACCAGUAGUCAUUUGGUCACGAGACAGGUGCACAUGGGGACUGCUGAUUCAUUCCACAUUCUUUCGGGAUGAAUGGUUUGUUCCGGUCCAAACCCCAGCUCUGGCUGUCUGCGACCCAUUGAAGUGCUUUGUCACCAGCGCGUUGCUUUGAACUCGUGAUUAUUUUUUUAAAAAAUUACCUUAAACCUAAUUUUGGUAAAAUGUCCAAUAAACUUUUUUCAAGGUCAAA